AUUGAACGCUGGCGGCAGGCCUAACACAUGCAAGUCGAACGAGUGGCGGACGGGUGAGUAAUGUCUGGGGAACUGCCCGAUGGAGGGGGAUAACUACUGGAAACGGUAGCUAAUACCGCAUACCAUCGGAUGUACCCAGAUGGGAUUAGCUUGUAGGUGAGGUAAUGGCUCACCUAGGCGACGAUCCCUAGCUGGUCUGAGAGGAUGACCAGCGACACUGGAACUGAGACAAGGUCGAGACUCCUACGGGAGGCAGCAGUGGGGAAUAUUGCACAAUGGGCGCAAGUCUGAUGCAGCCAGGCCGCGUGUAUGAAGAAGGCCUUAGGGUUGUAAAGUACUUUCAGUGGGGAGGCGUUACCCACAGAAGAAGCACAGGCUAACUCCGUGCCAGCAGCCGCGGUAAUUC
rnacentral:rRNA from 1 species